rnacentral:rRNA from 1 species
CGUAGGCAGCAAGCGUUGUUCGGAAUUACUGGGCGUAAAGAGUACGUAGGUGGUUUGCUAAGUCCGAUGUGAAAUCUCCCGGCUUAACUGGGAGGGUGCGUUAGAUACUGGCAGGCUUGAGUGUGGGAGAGGAGAGCGGAAUUCCUGGUGUAGCGGUGAAAUGCGUAGAUAUCAGGAGGAACGCCUGUGGUGUAGACGGCUCUCUGGACCAUUACUGACACUGAGGUACGAAAGCGUGGGUAGCAAACAGGAUUAGAUACCCUGGUAGUCCACGCCCUAAACGAUGCAUACUUGGUGUGGGCAGUUCAGUCUGUCCGUGCCGGAGCUAACGCGUUAAGUAUGCCGCCUGGGGAGUACGGUCGCAAGGCUG